UAAAAAGAAUGAAUGUCCUCCCUAGCUGUGUUCUGCUCCUUUAAGGAGCAGAGUGCUGAUCUGACAAACCCC